UUAAUUUGCUCACAAAUUUGCAUUUUGGCAGCGUUCAGCAGGGACAGGUUCUCUCUGCCCUAUUCUGCAUUAGUUGGACUGGCUCAAGGCUGAAGGCUAGAUAUGAAGCCUUACUCAUUGAAUCACGUAUCUGGAGAAUUAUGGCUAUUACCUGGUACCUCCACUGGACAGUGACUGGAACACCUUCAUGUGGUGGCUCUUCUGUGUAGCUGCUUGGCUUCCUCACGAUAUGGUGGCUGAGUUCUAAUAACAAAGGCAAAGUUCUGUUGCCUCUUAUGACUUAGCCUGGAAGUCAUAUGGUUUCACCACUUACUGCUGGAGCCAUAGGCCUAUGUCAAUUCAAAGGAAGGGGACUUGGCAUCUUAUAUUGUAAGAACAUGCGAGAUGGGAUACAUCUUGGUGCUAUAUAUUGGUGCUACCUGUGGAAGAUAUAAUCUGCCAGCAGGACCACAUAAUGACUUUCAUGAGACCUAGGGAUUUUUGCCUUGAUGGGCCCCUUUCUCCACUAAAAAAAGGAAGAAAAAUUACAAUUGCACUUAUAAAAGAGGCUUUUCUAUUGCUCGGCCAAAACUCUUUCUCUAAAGAGCUAGACUUGACAAUAGGACCACCUGGAUACGGCCAAGGAGAAGACAGAUCCAUGAUGUGGGAGUUUUUUUUUUUUUUUUUUUUUCACAAAAGCAACUUGCAUUAGAAACUUCCAGAUAAAUGCAGAAGAAUCUCCUAACCACUGAAAAGACAAACAAAGAACAUCCCUCCCUCUGAAUCGGGAGUGUGGAGAAUCAUGGGGCAGCCUACCAGUUGUUACUUGGCAGUGGACGUGAUACCGAGGAGAGAGCUGGUGACUCCCUUCCUCUGGCCGGCUUAUUUGCAACAGAUUAUUCAUCUGCUCUUUGGGAAGAGGAGUCCUGGACACAGGAGACUAAAAUGAACUCAUCAAAGAGGAAAACAAGUUUGCAGUGCAUUAUGUUAAAGCUCUCUCCACAGUAGGAAAGUCAUUGGGGAACAUAAGAGAAGUAGAUUUUGGCAACCAUUUCCUAAUUUUAUUGAAAGGAGAAAGCCAGGGAAAAUAAAAUCCUGGUUAAAGAAGGAGUUGUUUUCGUUUAUAGGUUCCUGGUGACUUCUCCAGUGGUUGUGGCAGGCAAGGCAGAAAAGCAAAUUUACAUUUCAGGAGUUUGUGAACUCAGCAUAUGAAUCAAGUUUCUUUGCACGUAAAACCUGAGGGUUUAGUUGUGUUCUAAUUUAGAGUUGAACAUCAGCCAAAUUAAGAGUGAAGAAUUCUGCAUCAGCAGGUUUACUGCUUAAUUUUGCUACCAGUUCUACUUAGCAACUUCAAGCAGAGUAAAGGAGGCAGCUAUAGUCUUUCAGGAAAUCAAGACAGGACAAUUGCACAGCAUUUGAACAUUAGAAUUUUGUUUUGUUUUUAGGACAAUAGCUCUAUAAAUUGAACGAUACUUGUAAAGUCCAAAAGUAAAUCGAAAUUUUAAGUUAUUCCCCAAACCAAUGCACACCUUUCAGAAUCUCAAGAGAAAUAUUCUAAAGCUGUAAUGACUUUGUAUUAUGUUUACCAUAAAAAUCUUCUGCAAGCCAAAUACUAAAGCAACGCAUGUCUGUUCAAAUUAGUGAGAAGUAAAAUUGUUAAAUAAAGCUGAAA